rnacentral:lncRNA from 1 species
CUCAAAUUAGAAGCUAAUCUGAAAUUGGAAACCUGGUCCCUGUUAAACGAGCUUCUCAAAAUAAUUUCCCAGGGAAGGUAGAACUCCGGCGAUCAAUCGAAAGCCACAGGUCCGACGUUUGACGACGAUGAACAGCGAUUUCCUUUUGCAUCCCCUUCCCCAUUUCAGUAAGCUUUUUUCUUUGGGUUUUCCAAAUUGUUAAAAUACAUUUGUAAUGUAUUAUUCCUUCAAGGUUUGAACGAACAUGUGUGUUAUUUUGAAGAUUAAAUUUUGAUGUACGUUAUUUUGAAGAUAUUUGAAAGAAGAAAGAAAACCGGAAGCCACAGGUCUCGAGUUUGACGACGAUGAACAACAAUUUCCUUCUCCAUCCCCGUCCCCAUUAAUUUAGUAAAAUUCUUUCUUCGGCUUUCGAAACUGUUAAAAUACAUUUGUAAUGUAUUAUUCCUUCAAGCUUUGAACGAGGUUUGUGUGUUAUUUUGAAGAUUAAAUUUUGGUGUGUGUUAUUUGAAAAUAUUUGAAAAAAGAAAGAUGUUGAAUUCCAUAAAUAUCAAAUUAUAGGGGUACAAUUUUUUUUGAAAAGUGUUAUGCAUUUAAAUUAAUCAUACAAAUAAAUAGAGAAGAGCAAUUAUCUUCUGGCAGCAAAUAUUUUUUAUGACAUUCGUUUUUCAUUUUUACGAUAUUUUCAAUUCAAAAUUUCUUGAGUUUAUGACAAUCAAUUCCUUAAAAUAUCUAAAUACAUAGUGGUCAAUAAAUUAUAAAAUUUCAUUUUGAGGAUUUAAUUGGAAUGUGAAACCAAAAUUUGAAGAGUAAAAGGUACACCAGAGGACUGUUUCUCCCAAAUCACGCCCAAACUGAAACCCUCACAAACGCAAAACGUUCUCCGGCCUCACCAUCUCCGACCACACUUCAGAUGACGGUACCAUCGCCACUCAGACAGCACUUCCAUCGUGGGUUUGGAACGAAGGUUAUCGUCGCUCUGGGGUCACUUCCGUCCAAAUUUAACCGUCAUCCUAGAUCACCAUCACCGAUCGGCGACAAAGGUUAUGCUUUAAAAAUUUCCUGGUUUUGCACAAUUCAAAGUUGUUGUUUUUCGAUUUUUAUUUUAUUUUAUUUUAUUUUUCACUAAAGCUUGUAUAGCCGAUAUUCGUGCGGUUUAUUUCCUCAUCAUGCUCCUUUUUUGGACUAGACUAAGAUAUUAUUGAAAAUUACUAUCACUUGUGCCUCUAUUUAUUUUCCAAUUCGCAAUUUUUUCUUUUCUGUUCAGUUGCUUGGCUACGUUGUGUUAGAANUGGGGUCACUUCCGUCCAAAUUUCACCGUCAUCCUAGAUCACCAUCACUGAUCGACGACAAAGGUUAUGCUUUAAAAAUUUCCUGGUUUUGCACAAUUCAAAGUUGUUGUUUUUCGUUUUUUAUUUUAUUUUAUUUUUCACUAAAGCUUGUAUAGCCGAUAUUCGUGCGGUUUAUUUCCUCAUUAUGCUCCUUUUUUGGACUAGACUAAGUUAUUAUUGAAAAUUACUAUCACUUGUGCCUCUAUUUAUUUUCCAAUUCGCAAUUUUUUCUUUUCUGUUCAGUUGCUUGGCUAUGUUGUGUUAGAAAAUUUUUUAUUCCAUCAGUUUUUCAACAUAUGGUUCAACUUAUAUGAUUAUAAAAAGAUGCAAAUUCUUGAGUUUUUUUUUUUUUCCACUGACGGUUGUCUGGCAGCAAAUGAAAGUUUUAAUCAUUUUAUUACAGGAUCACUCUAUGAAAUUUCAGUUCGAAUUAUGCAUGUUAUUCAAUAUUUAGGUGGUUUCGUUAAUUGUUAUGGUGACAAUAAAUUCUGUUGAGCUAACCGUGCAGUUUAUUUCUAUCGUAGAAUGGGCGGAAAGAAUACUUAAAUGUGUCACAGUUGCAGAGCUAAGGUUCAUUUCUUUGCCUAAUAAUAUCCAAGGAAAUGUCAAUGCCCGGAAUGCAAGCAUGAAUUUGAGAAGUGUUUAGUGAUAAAGAAACAAACAACGAAUAAAGGGCGAUUAUAUAUUUGUUGCAGUGCUAAUUGCAGAUUUUGGAUUGGAUUAUCAAAGAAGGAUCGAGCGAUCAAUCGUCUAAUGAUAACAGUUGACCAUUAAACUUUGUAACGAAUGAAAAUGUUGAAGCAAUGUUUGAGACGUUGGAAUCUCGGGUUCGACUGAAUGACGAAGAAAACCUACAUAUUUCGGUGAAUGUCAAAAUAUGCAAGGCCAAUUGUAGUGCAGAAGCGAAUGCAAAAGGGAAGCAGUCGAUGUAAUUAUUAGACAUAAAUUUGCUCGUCGACAUAACUUUUGUGUAUGUAGCAUUAUCUCGAGUAGUCGAGUUAGUUAUCGGUAUCUUCAUGUAGCUAUGGUCUACUGAUCAAUUUGGAUUAGGAAUUUGUAGACAUGAUUGCCACCAUUGUGAAGACAGAAUUAGGAAUUUUUAAUGCUAACAUGCAUUUCUCUACCAUUGA